rnacentral:rRNA from 1 species
UACGGGGGGGGUAAGCGUUGUUCGGAAUUACUGGGCGUAAAGGCUCGUAGGCGGCCAACUAAGUCAGACGUGAAAUCCCUCAGCUUAACUGGGGAACUGCGUCUGAUACUGGAUGGCUUGGAUUCGGGAGAGGAAUGCGGAAUUCCAGGUGUAGCGGUGAAAUGCGUAGAUAUCUGGAGGAACACCGGUGGCGAAGGCGGCAUUCUGGACCGAUAUUGACGCUGAGGAGCGAAAAGCCAGGGGAGCAAACGGG